AUUAACGCUGGCGGUUGCGGCAGC
rnacentral:miRNA from 1 species